rnacentral:rRNA from 1 species
GAUGAACGCUGGCGGCGUGCCUAAUACAUGCAAGUCGAGCGAAAAGACGCGGCGCUUGCUCCUUUGACGUUAGCCGCAGACGGGUGAGUAACACGUGGAUAACCUACCUAUCUGACUGGGAUAACCUCGGGAAACCGGAGCAAAUCCCGGAUAAUCUCUUGAACCGCAUGGUUCAAUAGUGAAAGACGGUUUUGCUGUCAUGUAUCGAUGGAUCUCCGCCGCAUUAGCUGGUUGGUAAGGUAACGGCUUACCAAGGGAACGAUGCGUAGCCGACCUGAGAGGGGGGUCGGCGACAUGGGAGCGUAGACACGGUCCAGGCGCCUACGGGAGGGAGCAGUAGGCAAUCUGCCGCAGUGGUCGAAAGUCUUGCGGAGCGACGGCGCGUGAGUGGUGAAGGUCUUGGGAUCGUAAUACUCGGUUAUGAGUUGAAAACAAAUGUGUAAGGAACUAUGCACGUCGUGACGGUACCUGAUCAAAAAGCCACGGCUAACUACGUG